GAGUUUGAACCUGGCUCAGGAUGAACGCUGGCGGCGUGCCUAACACAUGCAAGUCGAACGAAGCAUGCCGGAGGAAGUUUUCGGAUGGAAUCCGGGAUGACUGAGUGGCGGACGGGUGAGUAACGCGUGGGUAACCUGCCCUGUACUGGGGGACAACAGUUAGAAAUGACUGCUAAUACCGCAUAAGCGCACAGGACCGCAUGGUCCGGUGUGAAAAACUCCGGUGGUACAGGAUGGACCCGCGUCUGAUUAGGUAGUUGGCGGGGUAACGGCCCACCAAGCCGACGAUCAGUAGCCGACCUGAGAGGGUGAUCGGCCACAUUGGGACUGAGACACGGCCCAAACUCCUACGGGAGGCAGCAGUGGGGAAUAUUGCACAAUGGGGGGAACCCUGAUGCAGCGACGCCGCGUGAGUGAAGAAGUAUUUCGGUAUGUAAAGCUCUAUCAGCAGGGAAGAAAAUGACGGUACCUGACUAAGAAGCCCCGGCUAACUACGUGCCAGCAGCCGCGGUAAUACGUAGGGGGCAAGCGUUAUCCGGAUUUACUGGGUGUAAAGGGAGCGUAGACGGCAGAGCAAGUCUGAAGUGAAAGCCCGCGGCCCAACUGCGGGACUGCUUUGGGAACUGCCCGGCUAGAGUGCUGGAGAGGUAAGCGGAAUUCCUAGUGUAGCGGUGAAAUGUGUAGAUAUUAGGAGGAACACCUGUGGCGAAGGCGGCUUACUGGACAGUAACUGA
rnacentral:rRNA from 1 species